GGAGAGAUGCCGGAGUGGUUGAACGGGGCGGUCUCGAAAACCGCUAUCCCGAUUUCGGGAUCGGAGGUUCGAAUCCUCCUCUCUCCG
rnacentral:tRNA from 2 species